AUUGAACGCUGGCGGCAGGCCUAACACAUGCAAGUCGAACGAGUGGCGGACGGGUGAGUAAUGUCUGGGAAACUGCCUGCUGGAGGGGGAUAACUACUGGAAACGGUAGCUAAUACCGCAUACCAUCAGAUGUUCCCAGAUGGGAUUAGCUAGUAGGUGGGGUAACGGCUCACCUAGGCGACGAUCCCUAGCUGGUCUGAGAGGAUGACCAGCCACACUGGAACUGAGACACGGUGCAGACUCCUACGGGAGGCAGCAGGGGGGAAUAUUGGACAAUGGGCGAAAGCCUGAUACAGCCAUGCCGCGUGUGUGAAGAAGGUCUUCGGAUUGUAAAGCACUUUAAGUUUGGAGGCGUUACCAACAGAAGAAGCACCGGCUAACUUCGUGCCAGCAGCCGCGGUAAUAC
rnacentral:rRNA from 1 species